rnacentral:rRNA from 1 species
UACGGGGGGAGCAAGCGUUGUUCGGAUUUACUGGGCGUAAAGGGCGCGUAGGCGGCCACUGCAAGUCAGUUGUGAAAUCUCCGGGCUUAACCCGGAAAGGUCAGCUGAUACUGCAGGGCUAGAGUGCAGAAGGGGCAACUGGAAUUCUCGGUGUAGCGGUGAAAUGCGUAGAUAAUCGAGAGGAACACCUGCGGCGAAGGCGGGUUGCUGGGCUGACACUGACGCUGACAGCGCGAAAGCUAGGGGAGCGAACGGGAUUGAAGA